rnacentral:ncRNA from 1 species
GAAAGCCGUGUGCGGGAAAAUCGCAUGCACGGUUUGAUGAGGGUGCGAAGGAAACAAAGUUUUCCUUCAAUCUACUCUAC